GUCAGCUCGACAGGCCGAAAUGUUCGAUUUGUUUUCGCGUGUCGUCAGGUGAAUCGAGUAGCCUGCCAGCGUAGACGAAGGUCUUCACGGUAUUAAAUGUGCAAUUUAAAGAGAAGAUUCGUUGUACGUGUCGCGUCGAAACGCUGCCAAGUCCGCGGAGAUGGCAACUGCAUCGAGAAAUUGGAAGCCACGCAAGGAACGUAUUGGAAAGCUGUUCUCGAGAAUGCCCGCUGGCCUACUGACGAACGAGAGAAAGGAACUGAUGUGGAGGAAAUACGAGAUAGCAUCACAGAAAAUAGCUGUGACCGCGUUAUGAAAUCGCAAGAGAGUUUUCAGACUCCCGUUGGCUACAAAUACAUG